rnacentral:rRNA from 1 species
GACGUAGGGCGCAAGCGUUGUCCGGAUUUAUUGGGCGUAAAGAGCUCGUAGGCGGCCUGUCGCGUCGACCGUGAAAACCCGCAGCUCAACUGCGGGCUUGCGGUCGAUACGGGCGGGCUGGAGUUCGGUAGGGGAGACUGGAAUUCCCUGUGUAGCGGUGAAAUGCGCAGAUAUCAGGAGGAACACCGGUGGCGAAGGCGGGUCUCUGGGCCGAUACUGACGCUGAUGUGCGAAAGCGUGGGGAGCAAACAGG